rnacentral:rRNA from 1 species
CCCACUGCUAUUUGGGUGAGAAUAAGCCAUGCGAGUUGAAUGGGAUACCUAAAUUUUCCAUAGCAAACUGCUCAGUAACACAUGAUCAACUUACCCUAUAGAGAAAAAUAACCUCGGGAAACUGAGGAUAAUGUUUCAUAGUUGAAAAGGCUUGGAAAAGUUUUUCAAUUAAAAGGAUAAAAAAAAUGGUUUUUAUCCGCUAUAGGAUAGGAUCGUGGUUGAUUAUGGUUGUUGGUGAGGUAAUGGCUCACCAAGCCGAUAAUCGAUAGGGGCCGUGAGAGCGGGAGCCCCGAGAUGGGUACUGAGACAACGACCCAGGCCUUACGAGGCGCAGCAGGCGCGAAACCUCCGCAAUACACGAAAGUGUGACGGGGUUACCCAAAGUGUUCAGUUUUGAACUGUGGUAGGUGAGUAAUGUCCCCUACUAGAAAGGAGAGGGCAAGGCUGGUGCCAGCCGCCGCGGUAAAACCAGCUCUUCAAGUGGUCGGGAUAAUUAUUGGGCUUAAAGUGUCCGUAGCCGGUUUAGUAAGUUCCUGGUAAAAUCGGGUAGCUUAACUAUCUGUAUGCUAGGAAUACUGCUAAACUAGAGGGCGGGAGAGGUCUGAGGUACUACAGGGGUAGGGGUGAAAUCUUAUAAUCCUUGUAGGACCACCAGUGGCGAAGGCGUCAGACUGGAACGUGCCUGACGGUGAGGGACGAAAGCCAGGGGAGCGAACCGGAUUAGAUACCCGGGUAGUCCUGGCCGUAAACGAUGCAUACUAGGUGAUGGCAUGGCCAUGAGCCGUGUCAGUGCCGUAGGGAAACUGUUAAGUAUGCCGCCUGGGAAGUACGGUCGCAAGGCUAAAACUUAAAGGAAUUGGCGGGGGAGCACCACAAGGGGUGAAGCCUGCGGUUC